UUAUUUGAGAGUUUGAUCCUGGCUCAGGAUGAACGCUGGCGGCGUGCCUAACACAUGCAAGUUGAGCGAUUUACUUCGGUAAAGAGCGGCGGACGGGUGAGUAACGCGUGGGUAACCUACCCUGUACACACGGAUAACAUACCGAAAGGUAUGCUAAUACGGGAUAAUAUAUUUGAGAGGCAUCUCUUAAAUAUCAAAGGUGAGCCAGUACAGGAUGGACCCGCGUCUGAUUAGCUAGUUGGUAAGGUAACGGCUUACCAAGGCGACGAUCAGUAGCCGACCUGAGAGGGUGAUCGGCCACAUUGGAACUGAGACACGGUCCAAACUCCUACGGGAGGCAGCAGUGGGGAAUAUUGCACAAUGGGCGAAAGCCUGAUGCAGCAACGCCGCGUGAGUGAUGAAGGCCUUCGGGUCGUAAAACUCUGUCCUCAAGGAAGAUAAUGACGGUACUUGAGGAGGAAGCCCCGGCUAACUACGUGCCAGCAGCCGCGGUAAUACGUAGGGGGCUAGCGUUAUCCGGAUUUACUGGGCGUAAAGGGUGCGUAGGCGGUCUUUCAAGUCAGGAGUGAAAGGCUACGGCUCAACCGUAGUAAGCUCUUGAAACUGGGAGACUUGAGUGCAGGAGAGGAGAGUGGAAUUCCUAGUGUAGCGGUGAAAUGCGUAGAUAUUAGGAGGAACACCAGUUGCGAAGGCGGCUCUCUGGACUGUAACUGACGCUGAGGCACGAAAGCGUGGGGAGCAAACAGGAUUAGAUACCCUGGUAGUCCACGCUGUAAACGAUGAGUACUAGGUGUCGGGGGUUACCCCC
rnacentral:rRNA from 1 species